UUGGGAGGCGAUUCUUUCUCUGUUUUCUGAGGAAAAUGCAGCUGAAACUUAAAAAGAUUUGACUGGAAGCAGCGGUCCAGAUGUAGAGUUUUGGAAGUGUGGCAGAACAAAAUUGAGAACGUCUUUGAGAUCCAGCUUCCGCAAACCACUUUGGAAAGCCACGCUGAAGAGAUACAAUCAACUUUAAUUUGGCUUGCGAUCCAUUCAGUGUUGGUGCGACAGCAAUGACAAAAAAGGACGGCGGGAGCAAGAACGCGAAGCACACCAUUGCGGACCC